GAUUAGCACCAGGUGUGAGGUCUCCACACCUGCUCCCAAUACUGCUAAUUGGAAGCGGGUGAAGCCACCUAUUGGGAAUCUGAACAGCCUGCUCCAUGUCAAGGCCCUGGAAAUCAUGCAUGCAGACUUAAAGCCUGAAACAUCAUGGUCGUGAACAGCUGUCAGCAGCCGCUGCAAGUCAAGCUCAUUGACUUCGGCCUGGCUCGCCACGUUUCUGAGGCUGUUCCAGGAACCGCUGUGCAGAGUCUGUGGAAUAGCUAGGGUACCAGAGGUCAUCCUGGGAAUGGACUUCAGCGAACAAAUAGACAUGGGGUCUCUGGGUGCUGUGGCUGCAUGAAUUGCUGCAGGCUUUGCUUCUCUUCCCCCCCCCCCCCUGCAGAACACGAGUAUGAUGCGCU